GUGCAGCAUUACUCCACUGCAACCGUGCAAUAGCGGGUUUCCCACUAGGCAUGUGCCUAGGGGUGGCACACCUAGCUGAUAAAGAACAGAAGACUUCAUAUCGUGUAAUUACACUUGCCCGCCUCGGAGAACUGGCUCCUGUGACUUGCAUGACCCGAUGCUGUGAUUAUUCCUGGGACAAUGUAUCAUUAAUGUAUGGAGCAUCUUGCACCUGUGAAAUGUCGCUCUAGGCUCUGAGAGGUGCACAAUUUGUGGCAAUGUAAUGAAAACUCUUCAACAAAGAGCUAUAUCGAUCUCCUCCAGUUCUAUCAUCUAGCAUUCUUCACUCCAAAUGGAUGUCUUUAGAGCAUUGAUUGAGAAGCCAUCAAACCCUCUCAUCACCUUUAUCUGUGUCUCAAAUAAACCUGUUUGGCCCAUUA